GCUGUCACAAAUGGAUCCCAAGACUCAUUACACCAGUGCUAAAGGGAACUUUUCCAUCAGAAUUCACCCACAACAUCACACUCUUGCCAAAACUUCCAUUCAAUCAGAAUCCUAUGGAAUUAUCUUUGAUUCUAAAGAUGUUGUUGGAGGAAGCAUUUUCCAGCUCUGAAGUACUGUGAAUGGUAAUGUCUCACUUCCCUCUAGUUUCUCUAUCAGGCAAUAAUGUUAUUUCUAUUCUUGAAUUAUUUGGUGCUUUACUGAGUCACAUAGGUAAGAAAGGAGGUAAAGAAUUCAUUCACUCUGGAACCUUAGAAAGCAAGCCUACACCAAAACAUCCUAGCACUUGGGAGGUGGGGCAGGAGAAUCAGGAGUUUAAGGUCAUCCUCAGCCAGAGUCUGAGGUGAGUUUGGGAUAUAUGAGGCUCUGUGUGCCCACCUUCCCAACUGUUUACAUCAAAACACAACCGGACCCAAUUAUCUGACAGGGAAAGAGGAUCCCAGUUCAAGAUUUCUCCACAGGAGGCAGGCUCAGAGGUCCGAGGUUGGACAGAGACAUGCUAGCCCCAAGGAGACUCCAUCUGAAGUCUCAAAGAAAUGUCAAGAGCAGCAGACAGUCCUCCUGGCUAUUGAAGCUGCCUCUUAAGUAGGGCUGGAACAACCUGGAGCCUGAGGAAACACGCAGGAGUCACUCUUCUACAGGACCUAACGGUAUCUUCCUCUCUUCCUCCAGUUCCACUGCACAGUUUAGAGUUGAGCAGGUGGUGGCCAGAAGGUGAAAUAUGGUCUGUGAGUGCCAGUUUUUAGCAUGCUGAGCCAGCAUUGCAUUCCAUGCCAGUCUGGGUUAUACAGACGAGAUACAGUCCAGAAAGAACAGAGUUGGACUCAGAUCACUUGUAGAGCGCUAGCCUGACACACAUGAAACCCUGGGCUCUAUCCUCACCGCCGCACAAACCUCAGCUGACAGCAGCCUGGGGCCUCACUGAGACCUGCUCAGCGUACUCAGCACAAGGUAGAGUGUGCGCUCAUGAGCCAGGGUGGGGUGGUCUGGACGUUGGCUCCCGCCCUGGUCCUCAGACACAUCCGCCAGACUCUGAGCUUGCCUCCAAAAGCGUCUGCGCGUGCGCACCCCACAGUUAGCGCGCGUCUGCCAGCUACUUCCGGCUGGCCCUUGGCAGCCCUCACACACCCUCCCAGGAGCCUCAGCUGGGGUGCCGCCUCCUCGCGAAGCAGUCACUUGAACGGCGGGCUAGAAAAAACCGGAGGGGAAAGCUGCGGGAGGCGACAGCAGGGGCGAGAGAGGACGUAGCAUCCACACCCUACGCAAGCGCGUCGUAGUCACAUGACAAGGGGCGGUGCCCGUGUGGGCGGGAGCGAAGUCACGGCUAGGGUCGAGGUUGCUACGGCGGACCAGCGGUGGCAACGGGGAGGCACACGGUCCAAAGUCCUUUUACUUUCUGAGGAUGGGCAGAUCCUGGCAGAAGCAGAUGGACUGAGCACAAACCACUGGCUGAUUGGCACAGACCAGUGUGUGGAGAGGAUCAAUGAGAUGGUGGACAGGGCCAAACAGAAGGCUGGAGUGGAUCCUCUGGUGCCCCUUCGAAGCCUGGGCCUGUCCCUGAGUGGUGGGGAGCAGGAGGAUGCAGUGAGGCUCCUGAUUGAGGAGUUGAGGCACCGCUUUCCCAACCUGAGUGAAAACUACUUAAUCACCACGGAUGCAGCAGGUUCCAUCGCCACAGCCACACCGGACGGUGGGAUUGUGCUCAUCUCUGGAACAGGCUCCAACUGUAGGCUUAUCAACCCUGAUGGCUCCGAGAGUGGCUGUGGAGGCUGGGGCCACAUGAUGGGAGACGAGGGCUCAGCUUUCCCUUGCCUGGGUCUACCAAACAGUUGAUCAAAAGCCUCUUCCCCUACUGGGAACCAGUGACUGAAUAGCAGGUGAUCAGUGGAGUUCUAACUGGUCUUGAGCUGAGAGCUUUUCUUGGUGAGGAGACUGCCUCUGUGAUUGGCUGUCUUCUUCGCCUUCUGCUCCUGGCAGCCUACUGGAUUGCACACCAAGCUGUGAAAAUUGUGUUUGAUUCCAUCGACAACCUGGAGGCAGCUCCUCAUGAUAUUGGCCAUGUCAAGCAGGCCAUGUUCGACUAUUUCCAGGUGCCAGAUCGGCUUGGAAUCCUCACCCAUUUGUAUAGGGACUUUGAUAAAUGCAAGUUUGCUGGAUUUUGCCAGAAAAUUGCAGAAGGUGCACAUCAGGGAGACCCUCUUUCCAGGUACAUCUUCAGGAAGGCUGGAGAGAUGCUGGGCAGACAUGUUGUGGCAGUAUUGCCAGAGAUUGACCCGGUUUUGUUCCAAGGGGAGCUUGGCCUCCCCAUUCUGUGUGUGGGCUCAGUGUGGAAGAGCUGGGAGCUCCUGAAGGAAG